rnacentral:rRNA from 1 species
GAUGAACGCUGGCGGCGUGCUUAACACAUGCAAGUCGAACGGAAAGGCUCCUGCUUGCAGGGGUACUCGAGUGGCGAACGGGUGAGUAACACGUGGGUGAUCUGCCCUGCACUUCGGGAUAAGCCUGGGAAACUGGGUCUAAUACCGGAUAGGACGAUGGUUUGGAUGCCAUUGUGGAAAGUUUUUUCGGUGUGGGAUGAGCUCGCGGCCUAUCAGCUUGUUGGUGGGGUAAUGGCCUACCAAGGCGUCGACGGGUAGCCGGCCUGAGAGGGUGUACGGCCACAUUGGGACUGAGAUACGGCCCAGACUCCUACGGGAGGCAGCAGUGGGGAAUAUUGCACAAUGGGCGCAAGCCUGAUGCAGCGACGCCGCGUGGGGGAUGACGGCCUUCGGGUUGUAAACUCCUUUCGCUAGGGACGAAGCGCAAGUGGCGGUACCUGGAGAAGAAGCACCGGCUAACUACGUG